rnacentral:rRNA from 1 species
UACAGAGGGUGCAAGCGUUAAUCGGAAUUACUGGGCGUAAAGCGUGCGCAGGCGGUCUGUUAAGACAGAUGUGAAAUCCCCGGGCUCAACCUGGGAACUGCAUCUGUGACUGCAUAGCUAGAGUACGGUAGAGGGGGAUGGAAUUCCGCGUGUAGCAGUGAAAUGCGUAGAUAUGCGGAGGAACACCGAUGGCGAAGGCAAUCCCCUGGACCUGUACUGACGCUCAUGCACGAAAGCGUGGGGAGCAAACAGG